UACAGAGGGUGCUAGCGUUGUUCGGAAUUAUUGGGCGUAAAGCGCGUGUAGGCGGCUUUGUAAGUCGGGUGUGAAAUCCCUCAGCUUAACUGAGGAAGUGCGCCCGAAACUGUGAGGCUUGAGUACCGGAGAGGAUGGCGGAAUUCCCCAAGUAGAGGUGAAAUUCGUAGAUAUGGGGAGGAACACCGGUGGCGAAGGCGGCCAUCUGGACGGUAACUGACGCUGAGACGCGAAAGCGUGGGGAGCAAACAGG
rnacentral:rRNA from 1 species